AAACCACCCGGGAUUGCCUUAGUAGCGGCGAGUAAAGCGGCGAAAGCUCAAAUUUGAAAUCUGGCUCUAUUUUGGGGUCCGAGUUGUAAUUUGAAGAAGCGACUUUGGACCUGGCUCUUGUCUAUGUUCCUUGGAACAGGACGUCACAGAGGGUGAGAAUCCCGUGCGAUGAGAAGCCCAGGUUCGUGUAAAGCGUUUUCGACGAGUCGAGUUGUUUGGGAAUGCAGCUCUAAGUGGGUGGUAAAUUCCAUCUAAAGCUAAAUAUUGGCGAGAGACCGAUAGCGAACAAGUACAGUGAUGGAAAGAUGAAAAGAACUUUGAAAAGAGAGUGAAAAAGUACGUGAAAUUGUUGAAAGGGAAGGGCUUGAGAUCAGACUUUGUUUUUCCAUGGCGCUCUUUCGGGGGUGUCCUCUGGGUCUACAGGGCCAGCAUGGGUUUUGCGGGCGAGACAAGGACUCAGGAAUGUGGCUCUGCUUCGGUGGAGUGUUAUAGCCUGGGGUACUGGUCGCCAUGCGGGACCGAGGACUACGGUACUAGGAUGCUGGCGUAAU
rnacentral:rRNA from 1 species